CAGCAGCCACGGUAAUACGUAGGUGGCAAGCGUUGUCCGGAAUUAUUGGGCGUAAAGGGCUCGCAGGCGGUUUCUUAAGUCUGAUGUGAAAGCCCCCGGCUCAACCGGGGAGGGUCAUUGGAAACUGGGAAACUUGAGUGCAGAAGAGGAGAGUGGAAUUCCACGUGUAGCGGUGAAAUGCGUAGAGAUGUGGAGGAACACUAGUGGCGAAGGCGACUCUCUGGUCUGUAACUGACGCUGAGGAGCGAAAGCGUGGGGAGCGAACAGGAUUAGAUACCCCCGUAGUCCCUGUCUCUUAUAC
rnacentral:rRNA from 1 species